UAGAGAAGCUCCUUUUUCAGAAUACCACAUGUCUUGUUGAGAGAAAAUGGAAGUUAGCACCAAGUAAAUCAAUCUUGAAAAAGAAUAAAGUUUCCAGAGUAGCUUACAGAAUCAAUUUUCACAAACAUAUGAAGAUUUUACAUAGCAGUUUUAUACUUGAGCCUAUGCCAAGAGACCAAUUGCAUUAAAUAUUUUCUCAAAUCAAUUUUAAUUGCUAGUUUAACCAUCAGUAAGCCCUGACUAUAAAUCAUUGUAAAUCAAACAUAACUCCAUCAUAAUUUGCACAACGAAAAAAAGAUGACUGGAGCGAAGUAGGUCUAGGCGAUGGCUGAUGGUCUUCCGGCAAUGUCAGCGGAGGUGACAUUUUGUGUAACAACAACAAAAUUUGAAGUUAAAACUCUAACAAUUACCCUGUUCAAACAAUGUUCCAUAUUUUGCAAAGCAUGGAGUUCAAUGAAACAAGGAGCAGUUAUAACAAUACAAUAAAGAGUGGAGUGACAGAUAAUCUUCAAAAGCUAAUUAUAGGAUGCAUAAGCCACUGGAUGGGCCCAUAGUGGAGUGAUCUGGAUGCUUCUUCAAAUAUUAUUUUGUCGGCAAGAGCGGAUCAAGGCUUUAAUUACUUGCUAGCAGCUAGCUGCACAAACUAAAGAUUCAGGCAUACACAUCGAAGAGGUGCUUGUUUACCCAGUUGGCAAGAGCAGAUCAAGGCUUCAAGUAAUUGCUAGCAUUAAGUUGAGUUGGGGCUUGCUACAGCUAGCUGGACCAACUACUGAUUUAGACCAAAGAGGUGCUUGCUUCAGCCUAUGCCAACACACAAAGAUUUAGACAAAUACAGAUAGUAGAGGCGCUUGCUUAAGCCUAUGCAAACACACAAAUUUUCCAAUCAAAGCGUUGCUUACUUGCUUGCAUUAAUUCAAACAGCUACUUAUUGCAGCUACUUUUACAAAUGAACUAAGAUGGCAAAAUAAUAUAAAGUUUCAUCCUAUAAUUAUAAGUGAACUCUGGUUGUAAAUCAAAGAUAGCUACUAUAGGACCUGAGCCACGCUUUCAACAAUUCAAGUACGCUCUAGGCAUUUUCUAGCUACAGAGUUGAAUCCCCACCUUUGUGAAAAAAAUCAUUUGAUAUAGCACGCAUUUUGUUACAUAAAAAGUAACAGUCCCAGCUCUGGUUCCUACUGUAAAUCAUUUUAUUUACAGAAUUGAAUACGAGAUGACUUAUUCCUACUCUCUAAGUUUCUUCAAAAUCGUGUCCUAAAUAUUCUGAACUUGGAGAGAAAGAACUCAAAUCGAACAAAAAGAGAAAUUUGAGGUACUUCGCAUUAAUCCAUAUAGAAAAAGAGCAGCAAUUUAACAACCAUAUGAAGGCAUCGCCCACAACUUGCUCAAGCUACUGUAUAGUGUGCAUUGUUCUAUAGGCCAUGAUCCACCAAUAGCAGAAUCCCCAACCUUUCUUGCCCCAAAAUCAGACAGAAUAUUAUGCGCACAUAAUUAUCCAAAUUGCUACUAAAAGCUACCAGCCAACAGCAAUACUCUCUAGAUAGGAACCAUGCAACAUUCCUGAAUUACCAUUACAGUCCCUCGAAGUACAAGUCUUCAGUGAAGAGUAUAAUCACCUGCAGUUUGGGUGCCGUGUAAGUCCUCCUAUCAACUCUACUAUACAUAUAGAUGUGACCAAUCUUCAUGCCCG
rnacentral:lncRNA from 1 species